rnacentral:rRNA from 1 species
UACGUAGGGUGCAAGCGUUAAUCGGAAUUACUGGGCGUAAAGCGUGCGCAGGCGGUUUUGUAAGUUUGUCGUGAAAGCCCCGGGCUCAACCUGGGAAUUGCGUUGGAGACUGCAAGGCUAGAAUCUGGCAGAGGGGGGUAGAAUUCCACGUGUAGCAGUGAAAUGCGUAGAGAUGUGGAGGAACACCGAUGGCGAAGGCAGCCCCCUGGGUCAAGAUUGACGCUCAUGCACGAAAGCGUGGGGAGCGAACAGG